UGGGGAAUAUUGCGCAAUGGGGGAAACCCUGACGCAGCGACGCCGCGUGCGGGAUGAAGGCCUUCGGGUUGUAAACCGCUUUUGAUUGGGAGCAAGCUUUCGGGUUAGUGUACCUUUCGACUACGCGCCGGCUAACUACGUGCCAGCAGCCGCGGUAAUACGUAGGGCGCAAGCGUUAUCCGGAAUUAUUGGGCGUAAAGGGCUUGUAGGCGGUUCGUCGAGUCUGGUGGGAAAGCCCAUCGCUUAAAGGUGGGUUGGGGCCGGGUACGGGCGGGGUAGAGUGCAGUAGGGGAGACUGGAAUUCUCGGUGUAACGGUGGAAUGUGUAGAUAUCGGGAAGAACACCAAUGGCGAAGGCAGGUCUCUGGGCUGUUACUGACGCUGAGAAGCGAAAGCGUGGGGAGCGAACAGG
rnacentral:rRNA from 1 species